AGGAUGAACGCUGGCGGCGUGCCUAAUACAUGCAAGUCGAGCGGUAAGGCCCCUUCGGGGGUACACGAGCGGCGGACGGCUGAGUAACACGUAGGAACGUACCCCAAACUGAGGGAUAAGCACCAGAAAUGGUGUCUAAUACCGCAUGUGGUCUUCGGAUUAAAGCUUCGGCGGUUUGGGAACGGCCUGCGCAUGAUUAGCUUGUUGGUGAGGUAAAAGCUUACCAAGGCGACGAUCAUUAGCUGGUCUGAGAGGAUGAUCAGCCAGACUGGGACUGAGAACGGCCCAGACUCCUACGGGAGGCAGCAGUAGGGAAUUUUCCACAAUGGGCGAAAGCCUGAUGGAGCAACGCCGCGUGCAGGAUGAAUGCCUUCGGGUUGUAAACUGCUUUUAUCUGUGAAGAUUAUGACGGUAGCAGAUGAAUAAGGAUCGGCUAACUCCGUGCCAGCAGCCGC
rnacentral:rRNA from 1 species